CAACUGUGGAUUUGUAUGCAUAUAUUCAGACGAAAUAUGAACAACAGUUACCUUGGAGUCUCAGUGUUGGGUUUCCAGGUGGAGAAUCAGCUACCUUGGAGCUUAUCAACUUUAGAAGCCACUUAUAUUUCUUUAAGCAACAUUAGAAACAAAAACUAAUUAGAGAAGUUGGAUAAUGCUCUACUUGGAGAUUCCCAUAG
rnacentral:misc_RNA from 1 species